rnacentral:rRNA from 1 species
GGCGCAAGCCUGAUNNAGCCNNNCCGCGUGCAGGAUGAAGGCCUUCGGGUUGUACACUGCUUUUGUACGGAACGAAAAGGUGCCUUAUAAUAAAGGGCGCUCAUGACGGUACCGUAAGAAUAAGCACCGGCUAACUACGUGCCAGCAGCAGCGGUAAUACGUAGGGUGCGCGCGUUAAUCGGAAUUAAUGGGCGUAAAGCGUGCGCAGGCGGUUUUGUAAGACAGAGGUGAAAUCCCCGGGCGCAACCUGGUAACUGCCUUUGUGACUGCAAGGCUGGAGUGCGGCAGAGUGGGAUGGAAUUCCGCGUGUAGCAGUGAAUGGGUAGAUAGGCUGAGGAACACCGAUGGCGAAGUCAAUCCCCUGGGCCUGCACUGACGCUCAUGCACGAAAGCGUG